GGAUGGGAGGGUGGUCAGGCUGCUACAUCGGGAACCCACUGACCACCAGGGGUGACUGGGCUGGUCUGGCUGGCCAAGCAGGUGUCCCCUUCCUCCCUCACAGCUCCACACAGGUCCGUCUGAGAGCUUCACGAUGGGUUGAAGAGGACGGCCUUCCACAAUUGAGGGUCGUUCUUAAGUCGAUUAUAUGUGCGUAGCUGUGCUCUUCUGCAACCUGCAGACAGCUCUGAGAACUUGUAAGAGGUAGAAGUAGCUGUCCAG
rnacentral:snRNA from 1 species